UACGACUACAUAUCAGGCAUAUCAAUAAGCGGAGGAAAAGAAACUAACAAGGAUUCCCUUAGUAACGGCGAGUGAAGCGGGAAGAGCUCAAAUUUGAAAUCUUCAAGGUUUUACCUUGACGAAUUGUAGUUUAAAGAAGUGUUUUCUGUUGAAGUUUUGGUAAAAGUUCUUUGGAAUAGGACAUCAUAGAGGGUGAGAAUCCCGUAUUUGACCAUUAUUUUCAGCUGUGUGAUACACUUUCAAAGAGUCGGAUUGUUUGGGAAUGCAGUCCAAAAUGGGUGGUAAAUUUCAUCUAAAGCUAAAUAUUGGCGAGAGACCGAUAGCGAACAAGUACCGUGAGGGAAAGAUGAAAAGAACUUUGAAAAGAGAGUUAAACAGUACGUGAAAUUGUCAAAAGGGAAGCGUUUGACACCAGUGUUGUUUUCUCGAGAAUCAAUUAAAAAGAGUUGGAUUUUGUGUUGUAUUGACCUUAACAGCUUGCUUCACUCUUUUCCAGCUUUUUUUAAUGCACUUUUCGUUUAACAAGUCAACAUCAGUUUCUUUUGUUGUAAAAGGGUCAUUGGAAGGUGGCUUUCUCUUCGGAGAAAGUGUUUAUAGCCUUUGAUCUCUGCAAUCGGAGAGACUGAGGUCUGCAGCGUAGAUCCUUCGGGGUUAGAUACAUUUGUGCUAAGCUACAGCUUUUCAUAGACAACUUGUUGACUAUGUUUAGUCUUGUGACUUACCCGCUUAUGCUAUUUUACCUACGCUUAGGAUGUUGAGCGCAUGUCUCUCUCU
rnacentral:rRNA from 1 species